rnacentral:rRNA from 1 species
AACUAACGCUGGCGGCGCGCCUAAUACAUGCAAGUCGAACGAUGUAGCAAUACAUAGUGGCGCACGGGAGAGUAACACGUGGAUAAUCUCCCCUCGAGAGAGGAAUAACUAGUCGAAAGAUUGGCUAAUACUUCAUAAGACCACAGAAACUAAUGUUUCAGGGGUAAAAGUCGUAAGACGCUUGAGGAUGAGUCUGCGUCCCAUUAGCUAGUUGGUGAGGUAACGGCUCACCAAGGCGACGAUGGGUAGCUGGUCUGAGAGGAUGAUCAGCCUCACUGGAACUGACACACGGUCCAGACUCCUACGGGAGGCAGCAGUAGGGAAUAUUGCACAAUGGGCGAAAGCCUGAUGCAGCGACGCCGCGUGAGUGAUGAAGGACUUCGGUUUGUAAAGCUCUGUUGUCAGGGAAUAAAAAAAUGAAUGUACCUGACGAGAAAGGAACCGGCGUAACUUCGUGCCAGCAGCCGCGGUAAU